AAGUAAAAGUCGUAACAAGGUUUCCGUAGGUGAACCUGCGGAAGGAUCAUUAUUGAAAUAAACCUGAUGGGUUGUUGCUGGUUCUCUAGGGAGCAUGUGCACGCCUUGUCAUCUUUAUAUCUCCACCUGUGCACCUUUUGUAGACCUUCCAGGUCUAUGUUGCUCCAUUUACCCCAAUGUAUGUUAAUAGAAUGUUGUGUUUAUAAAAUCUAUACAACUUUCAGCAACGGAUCUCUUGGCUCUCGCAUCGAUGAAGAACGCAGCGAAAUGCGAUAAGUAAUGUGAAUUGCAGAAUUCAGUGAAUCAUCGAAUCUUUGAACGCACCUUGCGCUCCUUGGUAUUCCGAGGAGCAUGCCUGUUUGAGUGUCAUUAAUAUAUAUAUCAACCUUCUCUUGUUGGAGUGGUUUGGAUGUGGGGGUUUGCUGGCCUCUUAAAAGGUUCAGCUCCCUUGAAAUGCAUUAGCAGAACGGACCUGUUCAUUGGUGUGAUAACUAUCUACGCUAUUGAAUGUGAGGGGAUGUUCAGCUUUCUAACUGUCCUUGGACAAUUUAUCAUUUUAUGUGACCUCAAAUCAGGUAGGACUACCCGCUGAACUUAAGCAUAUCAAUAAGCGGAGGAAAAGAAACUAACAAGGAUUCCCCUAGUAACUGCGAGUGAAGCGGGAAAAGCUCAAAUUUAAAAUCUGGCGGUCUUUUGGCUGUCCGAGUUGUAAUCUAGAGAAGUGUUAUCCGCGCUGGACC
rnacentral:rRNA from 1 species